rnacentral:rRNA from 1 species
CUGGUAUUGAUUGGUGCUUGCAUCAUGAUUUACAUUUGAGUGAGUGGCGAACUGGUGAGUAACACGUGGGAAACCUGCCCAGAAGCGGGGGAUAACACCUGGAAACAGAUGCUAAUACCGCAUAACAACUUGGACCGCAUGGUCCGAGCUUGAAAGAUGGCUUCGGCUAUCACUUUUGGAUGGUCCCGCGGCGUAUUAGCUAGAUGGUGGGGUAACGGCUCACCAUGGCAAUGAUACGUAGCCGACCUGAGAGGGUAAUCGGCCACAUUGGGACUGAGACACGGCCCAAACUCCUACGGGAGGCAGCAGUAGGGAAUCUUCCACAAUGGACGAAAGUCUGAUGGAGCAACGCCGCGUGAGUGAAGAAGGGUUUCGGCUCGUAAAACUCUGUUGUUAAAGAAGAACAUAUCUGAGAGUAACUGUUCAGGUAUUGACGGUAUUUAACCAGAAAGCCACGGCUAACUACGUGCCAGCAGCCGCGGUAAUACGUAGGUGGCAAGCGUUGUCCGGAUUUAUUGGGCGUAAAGCGAGCGCAGGCGGUUUUUUAAGUCUGAUGUGAAAGCCUUCGGCUCAACCGAAGAAGUGCAUCGGAAACUGGGAAACUUGAGUGCAGAAGAGGACAGUGGAACUCCAUGUGUAGCGGUGAAAUGCGUAGAUAUAUGGAAGAACACCAGUGGCGAAGGCGGCUGUCUGGUCUGUAACUGACGCUGAGGCUCGAAAGUAUGGGUAGCAAACAGGAUUAGAUACCCUGGUAGUCCAUACCGUAAACGAUGAAUGCUAAGUGUUGGAGGGUUUCCGCCCUUCAGUGCUGCAGCUAACGCAUUAAGCAUUCCGCCUGGGGAGUACGGCCGCAAGGCUGAAACUCAAAGGAAUUGACGGGGGCCCGCACAAGCGGUGGAGCAUGUGGUUUAAUUCGAAGCUACGCGAAGAACCUUACCAGGUCUUGACAUACUAUGCAAAUCUAAGAGAUUAGACGUUCCCUUCGGGGACAUGGAUACAGGUGGUGCAUGGUUGUCGUCAGCUCGUGUCGUGAGAUGUUGGGUUAAGUCCCGCAACGAGCGCAACCCUUAUUAUCAGUUGCCAGCAUUAAGUUGGGCACUCUGGUGAGACUGCCGGUGACAAACCGGAGGAAGGUGGGGAUGACGUCAAAUCAUCAUGCCCCUUAUGACCUGGGCUACACACGUGCUACAAUGGAUGGUACAACGAGUUGCGAACUCGCGAGAGUAAGCUAAUCUCUUAAAGCCAUUCUCAGUUCGGAUUGUAGGCUGCAACUCGCCUACAUGAAGUCGGAAUCGCUAGUAAUCGCGGAUCAGCAUGCCGCGGUGAAUACGUUCCCGGGCCUUGUACACACCGCCCGUCACACCAUGAGAGUUUGUAACACCCAAAGUCGGUGGGGUAACCUUUUAGGAACCAGCCGCCUAAGGUGGGACAGAUGAUUAGGGUGAAGUCGUAACAAGGUAGCCGUA